CCUACGGGAGGCUGCAGUGGGGAAUAUUGCACAAUGGGCGCAAGCCUGAUGCAGCCAUGCCGCGUGUGUGAAGAAGGCCUUCGGGUUGUAAAGCACUUUCAGCGGGGAGGAAGGCGGUGAGGUUAAUAACCUCAUCGAUUGACAUUACCCGCAGAAGAAGCACCGGCUAACUCCGUGCCAGCAGCCGCGGUAAUACGGAGGGUGCAAGCGUUAAUCGGAAUUACUGGGCGUAAAGCGCACGCAGGCGGUCUGUCAAGUCGGAUGUGAAAUCCCCGGGCUCAACCUGGGAACUGCAUUCGAAACUGGCAGGCUAGAGUCAUGUAGAGGGGGGUAGAAUUCCAGGUGUAGCGGUGAAAUGCGUAGAGAUCUGGAGGAAUACCGGUGGCGAAGGCGGCCCCCUGGACAAAGACUGACGCUCAGGUGCGAAAGCGUGGGGAGCAAACAGGAUUAGAUACCCGUGUAGUC
rnacentral:rRNA from 1 species